GCCCGUGUGGCUCAGUGGUUGAGCAUCUACCUAUGAAUCCGAAGGUCCAGGUUCAAUUCCCAGUGAGGGCA
rnacentral:tRNA from 1 species